rnacentral:rRNA from 1 species
UACGAAGGGGGCGAGCGUUGUUCGGAAUUACUGGGCGUAAAGGGCGCGCAGGCGGCCCUUGAAGUCAGGCGUGAAAGCCCCGGGCUCAACCUGGGAGGUGCGCUUGAUACUCGAGGGCUUGAGUGCGGGAGAGGAGAGUGGAAUUCCCAGUGUAGAGGUGAAAUUCGUAGAUAUUGGGAAGAACACCGGUGGCGAAGGCGACUCUCUGGACCGUAACUGACGCUGAGGCGCGAAAGCGUGGGGAGCAAACAGG